AAGGGUAUAGCUCAGCAGUAGAGCACAUGCUUAGCAUGCAUAAGGUCCUGAGUUCAAUCUCCAGUACCUCCA
rnacentral:tRNA from 1 species